GCUCCUGUAGUUCAAUUGGAUAGAACAGAGGCGUCCUAAGCCUUUAAUGCAGGUUCGAGUCCUGCCAGGGGCA
rnacentral:tRNA from 5 species